ACGUAAUACCUUUAUCCUUUUUGAGAACGAAAUUCGUCGAUAUAUUAAAAGAUUGUUGUUUGAAGUGUUUUUCUUUUAUUAUUGUAAGAAGCCUCUGCGCAUUUAUUUUCUGCAUACAGUACAUCAAGCCCUUUGAUAUAGUCGAGAUGGACCUGGGCCAGACCCAACUACUGAGCCAGCCACUGAUUCUCUCCAUAUUUUAUGGAUGAAUAACAAUUAUAAUUGUGAAGAUUCUAAAUCAAAUUCAAGUGUACAUCUCUUGACUGACAAACAAAAUGAAAUGUUAAGUGUAACCCUUAAAUUUUGAUACAACAUCGAUAGUGGCAAUGGCAGGAAGUCUGGAGCGCCUUAACCAAUAAAUACAGAAACACCUACUGGACUGACGUUUAUUACCCUGAACAUAUCGAUAGAACCCUGAAAUUACAAAAAAACACCCGAUUAUGACAAAGAACCUAUGGAUGUGACAUUUAAAUCCUGAUAAAGACUGUUUACCCCCUAUUAUGAAUUAAUAAUA